UACGGAGGGUGCGAGCGUUGUCCGGAAUCACUGGGCGUAAAGGGCGCGUAGGCGGCAUGCCAAGCGUGUGGUGAAAGCCCGGGGCUCAACCCCGGGUCGGCCGUGCGGACUGGCGUGCUCGAGCACUGUAGGGGCGGGUGGAAUUCCGGGUGUAGCGGUGGAAUGCGCAGAUAUCAGGAGGAACACCGGUGGCGAAGGCGGCUUUCUGGGCCUUACCUGACGCUGAGGAGCGAAAGCUGGGGGAGCAAACAGG
rnacentral:rRNA from 1 species